CUCUCAACCUUCUCUUUCUCCACACACACACACACCUCUCAACUCUCAAAAAUCUUACAUAUUUAUCAAUCUCUACAGGAAGACAAAGAAAGAUGACAGUGGGAGCAGGAAUUUGUGUAGCUGAAAGGAAGCUGAAUGUGUUGGGACAGAGCAUUCUCGCAGAUGUUAAUGAAAACAUAAUUGUAA